rnacentral:pre_miRNA from 1 species
AUUCUACUCCCUCCGUUGCACAAUACAUGCCUUCUAUUUGUCAAAAUAUAUAUGUAUCUAGACAUGUUUUAGUAUAUAGGUACAUCCAUUUUUGGACAAAUGGAAGUCAAGUAUUUUGGAACGGAGGGAAUACACA